AUUGAACGCUAGCGGGAUGCUUUACACAUGCAAGUCGAACGAGUGGCGGACGGGUGAGUAAUAUAUCGGAACGUGCCCAGUAGCGGGGGAUCACUACUCGACAGAGUGGCUAAUACCGCAUACUCUUGGAGCGGCCGAUAUCGGAGUAGCUAGUUGGUGGGGUAAAGGCUCACCAAGGCAACGAUCUGUAGCUGGUGUGAGAGGAAGACCAGCCACACUGGGACUGAGACACGGCCCAGACUCCGACGGGAGGCAGCAGUGGGGAAUUUUGGACAAUGGGGGAAAGCCUGAUCCAGCCAUGCCGCGUGUAUGAGAAGGCCUUCGGGUUGUAAAGUACUUUUGGCAGAGAAGCGGUAUCUGCAGAAUAAGCACCGGCUAACUACGUGCCAGCAGCCGCGGUAAUAC
rnacentral:rRNA from 1 species